UGAGGAAUAUUGGACAAUGGGCGCAAGCCUGAUCCAGCCAUGCCGCGUGCAGGAUGACGGUCCUAUGGAUUGUAAACUGCUUUUGUACAGGAAGAAACAGUUCUACGUGUAGAACCUUGACGGUACUGUAAGAAUAAGGAUCGGCUAACUCCGUGCCAGCAGCCGCGGUAAUACGGAGGAUCCAAGCGUUAUCCGGAAUCAUUGGGUUUAAAGGGUCCGUAGGCGGUUAGAUAAGUCAGUGGUGAAAGCCCAUCGCUCAACGGUGGAACGGCCAUUGAUACUGUCUGACUUGAAUUAUUAGGAAGUAACUAGAAUAUGUAGUGUAGCGGUGAAAUGCUUAGAGAUUACAUGGAAUACCAAUUGCGAAGGCAGGUUACUACUAAUGGAUUGACGCUGAUGGACGAAAGCGUGGGUAGCGAACAGGAUUAGAUACCCAUGUAGUCCCUGAGCGGGCUGGCAAGGCGCAU
rnacentral:rRNA from 1 species